UUGCUUCAGCGGCACGUACACUAAAAUUGGAAUGAUACAGAGAAAAUUAGCAUGGCCUCUAUGCAAGAGUGACGUGAAAAUUUGUGGAGCAUUCUAUAUUUAA